rnacentral:rRNA from 1 species
GACGAACGCUGGCGGCGUGCUUAACACAUGCAAGUCGAACGGAAAGGCCCUGCUUUUGUGGGGUGCUCGAGUGGCGAACGGGUGAGUAACACGUGAGUAACCUGCCCUUGACUUUGGGAUAACUUCAGGAAACUGGGGCUAAUACCGGAUAGGAGCUCCUGCUGCAUGGUGGGGGUUGGAAAGUUUCGGCGGUUGGGGAUGGACUCGCGGCUUAUCAGCUUGUUGGUGGGGUAGUGGCUUACCAAGGCUUUGACGGGUAGCCGGCCUGAGAGGGUGACCGGCCACAUUGGGACUGAGAUACGGCCCAGACUGCUACGGGAGGCAGCAGUGGGGAAUAUUGCACAAUGGGCGGAAGCCUGAUGCAGCAACGCCGCGUGCGGGAUGACGGCCUCCGGGUUGUAAACCGCUUUCGCCUGUGACGAAGCGUGAGUGACGGUAAUGGGUAAAGAAGCACCGGCUAACUACGUG